UUUUUUGUAAGGUGGUGGAGGUGGAGGAGAUUUGUAUUUAUAGACAGGAGGAGGAGGUGGUGGAGAUUUGUAGUGGUACGGUGGGUGGUAUGGUUUUUUGUAUGGUGGUGGUGGAGGAGGAGACUUGUAUUUGUAGACUGGUGGUGGGGGCGAUGGGGACUUGUAAUGAUACGGUGGGUGGUAUGGUUUUUUGUAUGGUGGUGGUGGAGGAGGAGAUUUGUAUUUGUAGACGGGUGGUGGGGGUGGUGGAGACUUGUAGUGGUACGGUGGGUGAUAUGGUUUUUUGUAUGGUGGUGGCGGAGGAGGAGAUUUGUAUUUGUAGACAGGAGGUGGAGGUGGUGGAGACUUAUAGUGGUACGGUGGGUGAUAUGGUUUUUUGUGUGGUGGUGGUGGGGGGGGAGAUUUGUAUUUGUAUACUGGUGGUGGUGGAGAUUUGUACUUGUAAAUGGGUGUAGGUGGGUGGUAUGGCUUCUUAUAUGGUGGUGGAGGAGGUGGUGACUUGUAUUUGUAGACGGGUGGUGGUGGAGACUUGUACUUGUAAACUGGUGUAGGUGGGUGGUAUGGCUUCUUGUAGGGUGGUGGUGGAGGUGGUGACUUGUAUUUAUAAAUCGGUGGUGGCGGAGAUUUGUAUUUGUAAAUGGGUGUUGGUGGGUGGUAUGGCUUCUUGUAAGGUGGUGGUGGCGGAGGUGACUUGUACUUAUAGACGGGUGGUGGUGGAGAUUUGUACUUAUAAAUGGGUGUGGGGGGAUGAUAUGGCUUCUUGUAGGGUG
rnacentral:lncRNA from 1 species